GUUGACUCGGGGCCGGCGACGUGGGUAAGAGGUAGGGGGGCAGGUUUGUUCGGAAUGACUGGGGGUAAAGGGUCAGUAGGCGGUGUGGCAAGUCGGGAGUGAAAGCUCGUGGCUCAACUCAGAGGCUGCUUCCGAAACUGCUGUGCUUGAGUGUGGGAGAGGCGCGUGGAAUUGCAGGUGUAGCGGUGAAAUGCGUAGAUAUCUGCAGGAACACCCGUGGCGAAAGCGGCGCGCUGGACCACAACUGACGCUGAAUGACGAAAGCUAGGGGAGCAAACAGGAUUAGAUACCCCAGUAGUC
rnacentral:rRNA from 1 species